rnacentral:rRNA from 1 species
UACGUAGGGGGCAAGCGUUGUCCGGAAUCAUUGGGCGUAAAGCGCGUGUAGGCGGCCAGGUAAGUCCGUUCUGAAAGCCCGGGGCUCAACCCCGGGAGGCGGAUGGAUACUGCUUGGCUCGAGUCCGGAAGAGGCGAGUGGAAUUCCCGGUGUAGCGGUGAAAUGCGCAGAUAUCUGGAGGAACACCAGUGGCGAAGGCGGCUCACUGGACUGGUAUUGACGCUGAGGUGCGAAAGCGUGGGGAGCAAACAGG